rnacentral:rRNA from 1 species
ACUCCUACGGGAGGCAGCAGUAGGGAAUCUUCCACAAUGGACGAAAGUCUGAUGGAGCAACGCCGCGUGAACGAUGAAGGCUUCGGUCGUAAAGUUCUGUUGUAAGGGAAGAACAAGUGCCGCAGGCAAUGGCGGCACCUUGACGGUACCUUGCGAGAAAGCCACGGCUAACUACGUGCCAGCAGCCGCGGUAAUACGUAGGUGGCAAGCGUUGUCCGGAAUUAUUGGGCGUAAAGCGCGCGCAGGCGGCCUCUUAAGUCUGAUGUGAAAGCCCCGGCUCAACCGGGGAGGGCCGAUUGGAAACUGGGAGGCUUGAGUAUAGGAGAGAAGAGUGGAAUUCCACGUGUAGCGGUGAAAUGCGUAGAGAUGUGGAGGAACACCAGUGGCGAAGGCGACUCUUUGGCCUAUAACUGACGCUGAGGCGCGAAAGCGUGGGGAGCAAACAGG